UCCUUUGAUGAGAUCAACGGGAGCAGUUUCAAAUUCGAUUUGCUUCUCAAUCAAGCACACAAUCACUCGUUUGGGAGAAGCAUAAGCUGGACCAUACACCUUUACCACCAUUGUUGUUGCUUUUGCUAUUCUCUUUCUUAACUUUUUCUCUCAAUAAAAAGCAGUGAGUGAGUUUGUGAUGCUGGGCAGUUUGCUUAUCCCCUUUAUAUAGGCAAAUAUAGUGCCAAAGUGGGAUUUUUUCAUUAUAUAUUAAUUUACAGCCACUGGUAGGAAGUUAUGUCAAGGAAGGUCGUAGAUAAGCGCACGCCAUCAUGUGUAUUGUCCUAUCUUUCACGCAAGGAAAAAAAAAAUAAAUAAACUUACAAUUUCCAUAGAAAGACUCGCGUAAAGAAUUGACUUUUGAAAACAAAAAUUAAAUUGGAGGCACUUUCUUGAUGGAGUGACUGCUUCUAACACCCCAGUAAAAUACUGGACACACCCCAUCUGUAAUAACCCGGCCAAUUAAAAAAUAGACAUAAUUAACUCUUUCUAUAAACACUCUUUGUAAUUACAUAAAUAACUUGCCGAUGGCCGUGGCCGUGGCAGUGGCAAUGGUAGCGGCCGUGGUUAUGGCGAUGGAAGUGGUCGUGGGCGUGGCAGGGGUAGAUGUGGCAGGUGUGGACAUGGAUGAUUGCAAAUUGAUUAUAGAUUAAGUAGUCCCAAGAAACUAGGAGAUAAUUGCCUUAACCAAUUUCACAUUUUCGGGCUUUUCUUCAAUUCUCACUUUAAUACCCAUUUUUCAAGGAAAUUGUUCACGCCAGCAAGUUACGCCAGUAGGUAUCUUGACCUGCUUUUUGCAGUCUGUAUUUUGAAAUUUUGCCAUCCUCUCCCCUAAACCUGCUCCACGUUGCAUACCUCAAUUAGUCCAUUGUCUUUGCAGUUCAACCUGACAUCGGUUUCUACAUUUGAUUGCUUGAAUUAUGUGCUUCUUGUUCUUGCUCCUGGUUAAUUGGUUUUGCUCUUUAUAUAUGCUCGCUUCUACCCUUUUUUUUUAAGUUCAACGCUUCUCUGUUUUAUUUUCUUUCAAAUCACAACAUUAUGGAUCAGGUAGUCCCAAGAAACUAGUAGGCAGCAAACCAGCAACCGCAGGACUAGUAGGCGUAACACCAACAGCUGCCAAAUCAUAUUCUGGGCUUACCGUUGUUUUACAACUUUCUCAAUCAAAUCGUGGAGUCCUAUUAUGCAAACUAUGAGCACGGUCGACACUAUGACAAGUAUAUUCUGCCUUUUGUCCUAGGAAACAAUUAACAAAUAAUAGUUAUAAGGACUUUAGCUUCCAACUGUGGACAACCUGCCGGUGAUGGUGGCCGUGGAGAUGGUGAUAGUAGUGGCCGUGGUUAUGGCGAUGAAAGUGGUCGUGGGCGUGGCAGGGGUGAAUGUGGCAGGUGUGGAUAUUAAUGAUUGCAAAUUCAUUAUGGAUCAGGUAGUCCCCAAAAAACUAGGAGUCAUUUGCCUUCCUUAGCCAAUUUCACAUUUUCGCACUUUUCUUCAAUUCUCGCUUUAACACCCAUUUUUCCAGAAAAAAUUUUCACGCCAACAUGUAUCUUGACCUGCUUUAUGCAGUUUAUAUUUUGAAAUUUUGCCAUCCUAUACCCUAGCAUUAAUGGGUCAUCAACCACCUGCUCCAUAUUGCAUACCUCCAUUAGUCCAUUGUCUUUACAAUUCAAUCUGGCUCCGGUUUCUGCAUUCAGGUUGCUUGAACUUUGCGCUGGUUGUUCUUGCUCCUGGUUAAUCGGUUUUGCUGCUUUAUAUAUGCUCGCCUCUCUUUUUUUUUUUUUAACUUCACCACUUCUCCGUUUUAUUUUCUUUUUUUAACUUCACCACUUCUCCGUUUUAUUUUCUUUCAAAUCACAACAUUAUGGAUCAGGUAGUCCCAAGAAAUUAGGAGCCAGCAAACAAGUAACAGUAGGACUUGCAGCCGCAGCACCAGCAGCUUCCAAACCAGAUUCUGAGCUUACUGUUGUUUUGGGACUUUUUCAAUCAAAUCGUGGAGUUCUAUUAUGCAAAACAUGAGCACGGCAAUUAAGUCAUUGAGCUUUUGGCAAUUGUUUUGAACAUUAGCACGGGGUUGACUUCUGUACUUAUAUGCCACUUAAGCCACUCGAUUUUCAGUAUAUUUUGGAAUGCCUUAUAGGAGCUCCACAUAUUCUCAUAGUGAAUUCUAUUGAAAUUUCUUCUCUCAUACACAAGACUUCGUUGCCGUUCUCUAAUCAUAUUCGGAUAGUGAUCAAACUCCCAAUGGAUCAAGUUGAAAUUAGAUCAACAUGAAACUCAGCUCUUCAUUCUUGGUUGUAGAAAAAUCUAUCUAAUUUUUUCUCUAUGCAAUAUGGUCCAAGUUGUCUGUUAGACCAAGUAAACGGAUGACCUCUACUCUCCAAAUCAAUUAGCUUACAUUCUUUCACAGCAUCACUAAAUUCGGCAAUCACAUUGGCAUUUCUAUCCAAACCCCCAGUUUUCUUAUUUGAAUACAGGAUCUCAUUAAAGUCACUAAAACACAGCCAUGGGAGAGAGGACAAACCUGACAUUCUUCUCAAAAGAGUCCAGCUGUGCUUUUUUGUAUUUGAUUUAGGGUACCUAUACUCCUGUGCAUCUCCAAAAUUUCCCAUUCACGUGCUGAACAUGCAUGCCUAUGUGGUGUCUGUUGUAGGAUUUAAGUUGAAUAUCAAUAUCCUUACUCUAUAAUAAGGCAAAGCCACCAGUCUUUCCAACUUCAUCAGUAGCAAAAUAACUAUCUAGAAUCAUCGUUCUACACGCUUAUUUGACAUGCACAUUUGUCAAUUUGGUUUCAUAAAGAAACACCAGCUGAGACUUCUGCAAUUGGAGGAUUUUCUUCAAUGCUAGGCACGUUCGGGGAUUCCCCAAAUCUCAAACGUUCCAGCUUAUGAUUUUCAUGGCUGUCAGUGGGGUUGGUUUCCAGCCUCUGCCGCUACAUUCUCUGUAAACCUCCUUUGUCCAUAUUUCAAACUUCUUGUUUCUUCCACCCACAAAAGAUUAAAUUUUACUGGGGAAAGUUGAGUUUGCUUGGCUUGUGAAUCACCCAGGCUCCUCAUUUUAAUUUUUUUGCAUUCUGGGCUUGGUUUUAUUUAUUCUUCCACGGGCCGCUUGAGUGAAAUUAGCCCAACAUUUCCGGCCCGUGUAAUUACUCUUUCCCUUACUUCCAAUUUCCAUUUCUUGAUUUCUUCCUCUUAUCUUUCACAAAUGUGCAUAUCCCAGCUACUUCUGUUUCAGUAUGCUUUUGUAUUUGGUCCAUAUUGUCUCUCAGUAGGGGUGGGCAUGCGUUGGUUUGGAUUGGGUUUUAAGACAAUCCAAAUUAAACCAUAAAAGUUUGGUUCAACUCAAACCAAUUCAAAUGUUUUCAACCCAACCCAAACCAAUCCAUUUGGGUUUGGUUUGAAAUUUAUUAUCAAAAUAAUUUUUAUUUUGAUAAAUUUAAUUAUAUAAAAAUUAUAAUAAUUAUUAAUUGUUAUUAAUUAUUUUUUUAAUUCAAUUUUUAUUAAUGAUUAAAUUCAUACUAAAAUAUGAAAAAAAUAUAGUGGAUAAAAAUUACAAAUAAUAAAUUUUACAAUAACUUAAUCCUUAAAUUAAAGAAUACUAGAAAAUUAAAAUAAAGUUUAAUCACAAAAAUCAUUAAUUCUCAAUAAAUAAGAACGUAAACUCUAAUAAUAAACUUCCACAAACAUGACAUCAACAGGUAAAUUCAAAGAAAGAAAAUAAAAAAAAAACUUAUGUGAGUGCCAUUUAGUUAAAAUAAUAAAAUUUCUAUGUAUCCUUUGACUUAUAAUUAUUGAGAUGAUAAUUUUCUAUCAAAUGGUGUUUUUUUUUUUCAAUAGGUUGAUUGCUCAUAAAUUUCAGGAUGGAGGAUCAUUGUCAAUAAAUCCCAUCAAAAUAAAAAAAUGGAGUAUUAUUUAUGCUACAGUAUCAAUAUAGCACACAAAAUGUUAAUUUUAUUUAUAAUAAGGCUUUAUAAUUUCUAACAUAAUAAUAUUUUAUCAAUGGCGAAAUAUCAUUUCUCAUAAUUAUUAAUUAUUUCCUUCCAAUGGCUAGGUAACUAUGCCCUCAAAAACCAUCUCAACAUUAUUACUAUAAUUUUUCUUGAUUUAAAUACAAAAACAACAAUAUAGAUUUGGUGUUUUUCUUAUUACUGUUAGAAACAUAAAAGCGGUAAUUACGUAAGUAUAAUAUGAGUUCAUAAAUUGAAAAAAAAAAUGAUUUCAUUUCAUCAAACCCUAAUUUCAUCUCAUUUAAUUAUUUACAGUAGCAUUUAUUUAAUUUAGAUUUGUUUUUACAUAUUGUUUUCCUUUUCUAACUGUUAACAAUUGAUCACGUCGUGAACAAUUUAAUAAUGACCUUUCACUUAUUUGUUUUUGUUUUCAUUUAUUUCAUUUGACAAGUUUGAGUAUUGUGGUUUUGUUCAUGACCCAUGGGUAAACUAUACCCAACCCAUAAUAAAAUGAUUUUUUAUAUAAAAUCCAUAUUUAAUCCAUUUUCAUACUUUACUCAACCCAAACCAUUUAAUUUGGUUUGGAUUUGGUUAAACCCAUGGAUUGUGGGUUUAUGCCCAGCCCUAUCUCUCAGCAUAUUUAGGCCCAUUGAGCCCAUAUUCUUUUUUUCAAUCUCCAAUGCAUUUUCCCACUUAUUCUUUUCACUGUUUCCCGCUAAAUUGCUCAUUUUUAUAGACAUUAGCUCCCCAUCAGCUAUCUCUGUAGCAUUGCUAUAGUUUAUAGUAUGUUGUUUAUUAUCCCCUCCAUGCUUCAUUAAUGAGCCUGCAGUUAAUCCUUCCACGUGGAUGAUCUUUGUUGGCUUUGUGCUGAUCCCAUUGUGAGAUUGGGUUGCCCCAGAUCCAUCUCUCACACAUUGCUUACCCUGGCCCGUUUUUUAUUGAAUUCGUUCUUCUUGUUAUUGGUUUUCCAAUGCUGACUAUGACGCUCUUUGCUUCCUAUUCCAAAGUUCUUAAUCGUUCUCUGCUUGGCUCUUUCCUCUCUUGUCAGUGCUUUCAUCCAUGCUCCAUAUGUUAACUAUCUUUUGGCUACCCUUUUUACUCAAGACACUCCUUACAUUGAUGCUAAAUUAGCCCACAAUAGAAGCAAAAGUCAGGCAAUUUUUCAUAAGCGAUUCAAUAAAAAUCCUCUCACUAUCUUCUAGUUUUAACAACAACCUUUUUUCAGUGAUUGUGUUACAUCUAUCGAGAUUCUUAGGCGAGAAAAAUGAGCCAAAACAUUCCCCUGUUUCAUCCAUUUCCACCUCCUCAACCUUACCAAUCUUUUUUCCUAUAUCCCUCAUUAUGUCUUUAUCCAUUCACAUAAUAGGUGCAUUGUGAAUUUGCACCCAAAAUGAUGUAUGGUUGAAAGCCUGCUGCUUAAUGUUACCCACAUUGGAUGGUUCUAUGAGCACCAUUAGCAGGUUGUUGAAGUGCCAUGCUCCUCCAUGCAAUAUCCUCUUUUUUUUGCUUUCUGAGGCAAAUUUAAAGAUGAAGACGUUUUCACCUAGACUCUCCACUUUCAAUUCCUUUAUUGAUCUCCAUACUUGUUGGAUCGUUGCUCUAAGCCCUUCACGGGAGACUCCACGUGUAUGAAAUAUUUUUCCAACGAGACAAUGUGCUGCAACUUUCUGUCCUUUAGCUUUCAUUCUUCCCCCAAAGUUGAUCAUAUUGUCUUCUUCUGAUUUUACGCUUAUGGCUUCACGUUUACGUAUGAAUUCAUCAGCGUCCAUCUCUCCUUUUAAAGCAGAUCAGUUGAACUAAAAAACUCACCAACUUCUCACCAACCCUUUUAACUAUAUUGAUUCCCCUUACCAUGUUUAAUACUCUUACCAAUUUCCCCCUUCCAGUUUUUUUUUAAUGUUUUCCACCCACCCUGCGAGUGACACUCCGCCACUCAACCCGUGAGUGAGUGACAAAUUUGGAUCACCAAGGAUCCUUUACUUCAUCAAUUCUAGGCUCUCUUUGAGAGAGAACUGUCUAGAAGGAUACUUUUUUCCUUUAUUUUCAGUAACUUAAUGAAUAUUUAGUAUUGCUUUGGCAUGUGAGAUUGUUGGAUUUUUAGAAUUUGGAGAAUUGCUAUUGACUUCUAAUUCUCGGCAGCUUUUCUUUGAAACAUUGAUUAAUUUUGAAUGGUUUUCAAUUGAUGGGAAUUCUGGGAUUUGUUUGCAGCUUGCGAUUUGGGGAUUUGCUAUUCACGUGAUUGGGGGGUUGCUUUCACAUUUGUCCUUUUUUGUUUCCUCUAAUUACUUUUAUUUUAGCUUUCACAUUAAUGUUAGUGAAGAAUGUAAAAGGACUUUUUAAUUCAAUUUUUAUUAAUGAUUAAAUUCAUACUAAAAUAUGAAAAAAAUAUAGUGGAUAAAAAUUACAAAUAAUAAAUUUUACAAUAACUUAAUCCUUAAAUUAAAGAAUACUAGAAAAUUAAAAUAAAGUUUAAUCACAAAAAUCAUUAAUUCUCAAUAAAUAAGAACGUAAACUCUAAUAAUAAACUUCCACAAACAUGACAUCAACAGGUAAAUUCAAAGAAAGAAAAUAAAAAAAAAACUUAUGUGAGUGCCAUUUAGUUAAAAUAAUAAAAUUUCUAUGUAUCCUUUGACUUAUAAUUAUUGAGAUGAUAAUUUUCUAUCAAAUGGUGUUUUUUUUUUUCAAUAGGUUGAUUGCUCAUAAAUUUCAGGAUGGAGGAUCAUUGUCAAUAAAUCCCAUCAAAAUAAAAAAAUGGAGUAUUAUUUAUGCUACAGUAUCAAUAUAGCACACAAAAUGUUAAUUUUAUUUAUAAUAAGGCUUUAUAAUUUCUAACAUAAUAAUAUUUUAUCAAUGGCGAAAUAUCAUUUCUCAUAAUUAUUAAUUAUUUCCUUCCAAUGGCUAGGUAACUAUGCCCUCAAAAACCAUCUCAACAUUAUUACUAUAAUUUUUCUUGAUUUAAAUACAAAAACAACAAUAUAGAUUUGGUGUUUUUCUUAUUACUGUUAGAAACAUAAAAGCGGUAAUUACGUAAGUAUAAUAUGAGUUCAUAAAUUGAAAAAAAAAAUGAUUUCAUUUCAUCAAACCCUAAUUUCAUCUCAUUUAAUUAUUUACAGUAGCAUUUAUUUAAUUUAGAUUUGUUUUUACAUAUUGUUUUCCUUUUCUAACUGUUAACAAUUGAUCACGUCGUGAACAAUUUAAUAAUGACCUUUCACUUAUUUGUUUUUGUUUUCAUUUAUUUCAUUUGACAAGUUUGAGUAUUGUGGUUUUGUUCAUGACCCAUGGGUAAACUAUACCCAACCCAUAAUAAAAUGAUUUUUUAUAUAAAAUCCAUAUUUAAUCCAUUUUCAUACUUUACUCAACCCAAACCAUUUAAUUUGGUUUGGAUUUGGUUAAACCCAUGGAUUGUGGGUUUAUGCCCAGCCCUAUCUCUCAGCAUAUUUAGGCCCAUUGAGCCCAUAUUCUUUUUUUCAAUCUCCAAUGCAUUUUCCCACUUAUUCUUUUCACUGUUUCCCGCUAAAUUGCUCAUUUUUAUAGACAUUAGCUCCCCAUCAGCUAUCUCUGUAGCAUUGCUAUAGUUUAUAGUAUGUUGUUUAUUAUCCCCUCCAUGCUUCAUUAAUGAGCCUGCAGUUAAUCCUUCCACGUGGAUGAUCUUUGUUGGCUUUGUGCUGAUCCCAUUGUGAGAUUGGGUUGCCCCAGAUCCAUCUCUCACACAUUGCUUACCCUGGCCCGUUUUUUAUUGAAUUCGUUCUUCUUGUUAUUGGUUUUCCAAUGCUGACUAUGACGCUCUUUGCUUCCUAUUCCAAAGUUCUUAAUCGUUCUCUGCUUGGCUCUUUCCUCUCUUGUCAGUGCUUUCAUCCAUGCUCCAUAUGUUAACUAUCUUUUGGCUACCCUUUUUACUCAAGACACUCCUUACAUUGAUGCUAAAUUAGCCCACAAUAGAAGCAAAAGUCAGGCAAUUUUUCAUAAGCGAUUCAAUAAAAAUCCUCUCACUAUCUUCUAGUUUUAACAACAACCUUUUUUCAGUGAUUGUGUUACAUCUAUCGAGAUUCUUAGGCGAGAAAAAUGAGCCAAAACAUUCCCCUGUUUCAUCCAUUUCCACCUCCUCAACCUUACCAAUCUUUUUUCCUAUAUCCCUCAUUAUGUCUUUAUCCAUUCACAUAAUAGGUGCAUUGUGAAUUUGCACCCAAAAUGAUGUAUGGUUGAAAGCCUGCUGCUUAAUGUUACCCACAUUGGAUGGUUCUAUGAGCACCAUUAGCAGGUUGUUGAAGUGCCAUGCUCCUCCAUGCAAUAUCCUCUUUUUUUUGCUUUCUGAGGCAAAUUUAAAGAUGAAGACGUUUUCACCUAGACUCUCCACUUUCAAUUCCUUUAUUGAUCUCCAUACUUGUUGGAUCGUUGCUCUAAGCCCUUCACGGGAGACUCCACGUGUAUGAAAUAUUUUUCCAACGAGACAAUGUGCUGCAACUUUCUGUCCUUUAGCUUUCAUUCUUCCCCCAAAGUUGAUCAUAUUGUCUUCUUCUGAUUUUACGCUUAUGGCUUCACGUUUACGUAUGAAUUCAUCAGCGUCCAUCUCUCCUUUUAAAGCAGAUCAGUUGAACUAAAAAACUCACCAACUUCUCACCAACCCUUUUAACUAUAUUGAUUCCCCUUACCAUGUUUAAUACUCUUACCAAUUUCCCCCUUCCAGUUUUUUUUUAAUGUUUUCCACCCACCCUGCGAGUGACACUCCGCCACUCAACCCGUGAGUGAGUGACAAAUUUGGAUCACCAAGGAUCCUUUACUUCAUCAAUUCUAGGCUCUCUUUGAGAGAGAACUGUCUAGAAGGAUACUUUUUUCCUUUAUUUUCAGUAACUUAAUGAAUAUUUAGUAUUGCUUUGGCAUGUGAGAUUGUUGGAUUUUUAGAAUUUGGAGAAUUGCUAUUGACUUCUAAUUCUCGGCAGCUUUUCUUUGAAACAUUGAUUAAUUUUGAAUGGUUUUCAAUUGAUGGGAAUUCUGGGAUUUGUUUGCAGCUUGCGAUUUGGGGAUUUGCUAUUCACGUGAUUGGGGGGUUGCUUUCACAUUUGUCCUUUUUUGUUUCCUCUAAUUACUUUUAUUUUAGCUUUCACAUUAAUGUUAGUGAAGAAUGUAAAAGGACCCUAUUAUCCUAUAACAUAUUAAGUUCAUGCAUCAAGUGAGUGCCGGGUGAAGUUAGUAUUUUCACAUCUAAUUUUUCAUAAAAUUCCCAAAACUUUUCUAAAUUUUUGCAAGUGCCGAGACACCCUCUAGUCUUAUGCAAACUCCACCCGUAGUUAAGAAAUUGUGGGUAACUUGUGCGUGUAAAAUGCUCAGAUUGAUUACACUCUUUUACCCCGGCAAAGCAGCAUUUUUAGAGGACAUGUCGAUAUCAUUACUACCCAAAAAAAAUACAAGACCUCUUCUAUUUGAAUAAAUAAACAACUUGCAAUAAAGUAAAAGACACUGUCUAACCCAUUUUUUUUUUUUAAAAAAAAAAGCAGUAUAAAAAAAAAAAAGACUCAAGCCUAAAAACAAAAGGUCCAACUCCAAACAUUUAUUUAUUGAAACACAUAUGCAAGAUACAUAUCCCACAGACAGAAACAAACCAAGUAGUAGAGAAGUAAAACACAAGCCCGAAAAUUGAAACACAUACAAUCAAGCUCAGCCGAAAGGAGUCUUACAAAGUUCAAGGACUUUCUUCCAGGACGGCCUGUUGCUAAUAUCAUCCCACCAAGCACUCACAUGCUUCCUGUCUCUAAUCAUAUGCUGUCUCCCCAUCGGCCCAACCAAGUAGUGGGUAAAUGGAAUGUGACUCAGAUCAGCCAGGCUGAAGAAAUCACCAGCCAAAUACUUGCUCUUUGAGAGCCUCUCCUCGUAAACGUCGAGCGUUUUUCCAAGCUUUUCGUCACUCUCCUUCACCAAUUUUUCAUCAACGGGACGUCCAAACUUGGAAGAAAAUAAAAGUUGGAUGGUCAGCUCGUAAAUUGCUGGGUUGUAGUUGUGUGCCUCUACUUCUAGCCACUGUUCCACCAGGCCUCUUUCUUCAAUUGUUU
rnacentral:lncRNA from 1 species